rnacentral:rRNA from 1 species
GACGAACGCUGGCGGCGUGCCUAAUACAUGCAAGUUGAGCGCUGAAGGUUGGUACUUGUACCAACUGGAUGAGCAGCGAACGGGUGAGUAACGCGUGGGGAAUCUGCCUUUGAGCGGGGGACAACAUUUGGAAACGAAUGCUAAUACCGCAUAAAAACUUUAAACACAAGUUUUAAGUUUGAAAGAUGCAAUUGCAUCACUCAAAGAUGAUCUCGCGUUGUAUUAGCUAGUUGGUGAGGUAAAGGCUCACCAAGGCGAUGAUACAUAGCCGACCUGAGAGGGUGAUCGGCCACAUUGGGACGGGGACACGGCCCAAACGCCUACGGGAGGCAGCAGUAGGGAAUCUUCGGCCAUGGACGAAAGUCUGACCGAGCAACGCCGCGUGAGUGAAGAAGGUUUUCGGAUCGUAAAACUCUGUUGGUAGAGAAGAACGUGGGUGAGAGUGGAAAGCUCAUCAAGUGACGGUAACUACCCAGAAAGCGACGGCUAACUACGUG